GACGAACGCUGGCGGCGUGCUUAACACAUGCAAGUCGUACGGGAAGGCCCUUUCGGGGGUGCACGAGUCGCGUACGGGUGAGUAACACGUGUGUAACCUGCCCACAACUUUGGGAUAACGCUAGGAAACUGUUGCUAAUACUGGCUACGUGCUCCUGCUGCAUGGUGGGGGUUGGAAAGCUCCGGCGGUUGUGGUUGGACUCGCGGCCGAUUAGCUUGUUGGUGUGGUAGUGGCAUACCAAGGCGGCGACGGGUAGCCGGCCUGGGAGGGUGAGCGGCCACAGUGGGACUGAGAUACGGCCCAGACUCCGACGGGAGGCAGCAGUGGGGAAUAUUGCUCAAUGGGCGCAGGCGUGAGGCAGCACGGCCGCGGGCGGGAGGACGGCCUUCGGGUUGUAGCCCGCUUUCAGCAGGGACGGGGCUGAUUGUGACGGUACCUGCAGAAGAAGCACCGGCUAACUACGUG
rnacentral:rRNA from 1 species